ACACUAGCAAUUCUGUUAAAGAACAAAUAAAUUAAGCAUUAAGAAACCCAUUAAUCAAGAGGAAAGAUGGUCAAUACAUGAGAUCAUCCAACUGACCCACUCUCUGUAGCUUUGCAGGUAACACCUUUGCUAACUCAGAAGAAACGGUUAAAAUGCAGGUAAGAAGCUUGAAUUGAUAUCCUUAGUUGUGGCAUUUAUGGACUGCCACAUAACCUUCAGUAGUAUCUCUCCAAUAGUGCAGUGGACUACAGUCCCUUCCAUCCCAAAACACUCUAUGAUUCUAUGAUUCUAUGUUAAGAGGGAUGGCUGGGGGCAUUCAUAUUGUGCCACUAGAGGUAAAAUUCUUGGACCGGCGCAAGACGGCCUAGAGCGAAAGCAUUUGCCAAGAAUGUUUUCAUUAAUCAAGAACAACAGUCAGAGUUUUGAAGACGAUCAGAUACCAUUGUAGUUCUGACCAUAAGCUAUGUUGACUGUGAAUAAACU
rnacentral:ncRNA from 1 species